rnacentral:rRNA from 1 species
UAACGCGUGGGUAACCUGCCUUGCACUGGGGGAUAACACUUAGAAAUAGGUGCUAAUACCGCAUAACAGUAGGAGACGCAUGUCUUUUACUUGAAAACUCCGGUGGUGUAAGAUGGACCCGCGUCUGAUUAGCUUGUUGGCGGGGUAACGGCCCACCAAGGCAACGAUCAGUAGCCGGCCUGAGAGGGUGAACGGCCACAUUGGGACUGAGACACGGCCCAAACUCCUACGGGAGGCAGCAGUGGGGAAUAUUGGACAAUGGGGGGAACCCUGAUCCAGCGACGCCGCGUGAGUGAAGAAGUAUUUCGGUAUGUAAAGCUCUAUCAGCAGGGAAGAAAGAAAUGACGGUACCUGACUAAGAAGCCCCGGCUAACUACGUGCCAGCAGCCGCGGUAAUACGUAGGGGGCAAGCGUUAUCCGGAUUUACUGGGUGUAAAGGGAGCGUAGACGGCGGUGCAAGUCUGAAGUGAAAGGCGGGGGCCCAACCCCCGGACUGCUUUGGAAACUGUAUGGCUGGAGUGCAGGAGAGGUAAGUGGAAUUCCUAGUGUAGCGGUGAAAUGCGUAGAUAUUAGGAGGAACACCAGUGGCGAAGGCGGCUUACUGGACUGUAACUGACGUUGAGGCUCGAAAGCGUGGGGAGCAAACAGGAUUAGAUACCCUGGUAGUCCACGCCGUAAACGAUGAUCACCAGGUGU